UACAGAGGCCACGAGCGUUAGGCGGAAUCACUGGGCUUAAAGCGUGUGUAGGUGGAUGGGUAAGUACCUUGUGAAAUCCCACGGCUCAACCGUGGAACUGCUUGGUAUACUGCCUGUCUUGAGGCACUCAGGGGCGAGCGGAACAAAUGGUGGAGCGGUGAAAUGCGUAGAUAUCAUUUGGAACGCCAAUGGUGAAGACAGCUCGCUGGGGGGUGUACUGACACUGAGACAC
rnacentral:rRNA from 1 species